rnacentral:piRNA from 1 species
UGUCGUCAUCGUGAGGACUGUGCCCCAGGC